AACGAACGCUGGCGGCGCGCCUAAUACAUGCAAGUCGAGCGAGAAGGCGUAGCAAUACACUUGUAAAGCGGCGAACGGGUGAGGAAUGCAUGGGUAACCUACCCUCGAGUGGGGAAUAACUAGCCGAAAGGUUAGCUAAUACCGCAUACGUUUCCGGAACUUCGGUUUCGGAAAGAAAGCAAUACCGUGGGUAUUGCGCUCCUGGAUGGGCUCAUGUCCUAUCAGCUUGUUGGUGAGGUAACGGCUCACCAAGGCUUCGACGGGUAGCUGGUCUGAGAGGACGAUCAGCCACACUGGCACUGCGACACGGGCCAGACUCCUACGGGAGGCAGCAGUAAGGAAUAUUGCGCAAUGGACGAAAGUCUGACGCAGCGACGCCGCGUGGGGGGAUGAAGGUCUUCGGAUUGUAAACCCCUUUCGGGAGGGAAGAUGGAGUGGGUAACCACUUGGACGGUACCUCCAGAAGCAGCCACGGCUAACUUCGUGCCAGCAGCCGCGGUAA
rnacentral:rRNA from 1 species